GAUCGGCCAGAGGGCGACCGGGUCUUCAAGAAGCCUGUCAGUACCCUCGCGAUGUCGGCACGGUCGCACCCGAUCACCGUGUUGGGGCGCAAGACGUAUAACGUCCUCCUCUGUCUUGCGCAGGAGGAGUUGAGGAAAGGCAAGGAUGUCGAAGUGCACCGCGCGCCGCUGAGCGAAGUCGUGCACCUUCUCGAGUACGACUCGAACGAUCUCGAGCUGAUCAAGAAACACUUCCGGGCGAUGCUGACGACCACAGUGGAAUGGCAGUCACCAACGACAGGGGAGGGCGACAAGUGGAUCGGUUGCAGCCUGCUCGCCCAGGCCUCGAUCGAGAAGGUUCGCGGGCAGGUGUGGAUCUCUUGGGCGUUUGCCCCAGCGCUUCGGCACGAGCUCCUGAA
rnacentral:rRNA from 1 species